rnacentral:misc_RNA from 1 species
AUUACACAAAAUAGCAUCCUAAGUUUCGACGUCCCUCGAUGUGAGACGCAGUGCUCGAUUACACUUGAUAUUAAUAUGUAUUUAGAACGUAAACUUUUGUUAUCAUUAGGUAAACGUUGAUCCCUUAAAGGGCGAAAGCAGAGUGUAAAAAAGCGUACUAAAGAAAACAGUCUCGUAAAAGACAGAAGGAAAGAAAACGUUCAGUUGAGUUCAGUGAGAUCUGCGCGCCUGGCUUCACCCGGACCUUCACUCAUGUAGGAGCGGACUGUGUGUCAAGCUGUUGUGCUCUUCUCGCCAUGCGUUUACAUUUUGCGCAAACGCGUGGGCUCCUCGUGCUUUUGGUCUUGUGGCGAAUUCAAGAUGGAGUGGAAAGCCAGAGUCAGUGCAAGGAAGUUCCCUCCCCUCCUCCAGAAUGCCGAGUGCUUCGUCUGAGCGGCGCGAGGGUUCCUUACGGCGACGGCCCCCUCUCCGUGUGGUGGUGGCCGGUCAGGCCCUCGCAGAAGCUGUGGGUCUCGGGGCCGGAGAUGGACAGAUGGGUCACUGCGGAAGCGCCUCAUCGCUGGUACGAGCUCGCCAUGGAGACGGAAUCUACAGGGUACUGUUUGACAGCUCCUUCACUUUUGCCGGAGAUUCUGUGCGGUAAAAGGGACUUCCUCUACAUCUAUUGCGAACAGCCAACCUUCUUCGCAUUCGACUGCGCGCAAUAUCCGUGUGCAACACCUUGUCUAAACAACUCAAUGGGCGAGUGCAAGGAGGCGUCAGCGUCAACAGAGUGCUCCAUUCAACGCCUAAACGGGGUGUAUGUGCCCCUGGACAAAGCUGCCACCAGCGUGUUUUGGUGGCCUGGAUCUGCCAAUAAACUUGGCAUGGAGGGGGGGACUAUUGACAAAUACCACGAUGUAGAUUCGGUGAGAAAACAGUGGCACCAAAUCAUCAUCACAAGCCAUGAAGCCGUUCUUCAGUGUGGCAUCACCAGCGAAAGUCUCAACUUGUCUCUCCACUGCCCUGAAGACCUAGGCGACGACUACAACGAAUACGAGCACUUCAUGAGCAGGAUGUUCGUGGGAAGUUACCGAGGACACGAAAUGACGUCAUCUUAUUGGGCCCUUGGGUGUGACGUCACUCCUUCCUGGUGUCCAGACAGUGCAGAGUGUGCAAUUCCAGCAACGAAAGAGAAAAAGGAAGUACAGUGGUGGAUGAAGCUGGUCCUGGCUGUGGAGGUCAUUUUCCUUGUCAUAGGUCUCGUGUGGCUGGGGAACGGCAUACUCUUUCAAGUACGCAGGAAGCGGACUCAAAAGAGAGAGUUCAACAGGCAACAGCGACCAACCGGUGAUAACAAAGUACAAGAGACCAAACACUUAUAAAGAGGGUCACGAAACCAUUGUGUACGCUAAAACUUCAGCUGAAAUAGUAGUAAUAGCACUCGUGGUGACAAUGGUAGCAGCAAAACUGCAACUUGUCAGACUAGUUACAACAGUAUGUAAAAGAGCCAGUGAAGCAGUCCUGCUGUCUGCACAAAUCCUGUUCACCUUACUCAUGCUUCCACUUCGCAUCCCGCUAGCUGGACCACCAUGCACCUUACCUCAAAGACUUGGGAAGUGGUCGCUUUGAGAGCCUGGCAAGUAGAAUC